rnacentral:rRNA from 1 species
GAAAUGCGAUACUUAAUGUGAAUUGCAGAAUUCCGUGAAUCAUCGAGUUUUUGAACGCAUAUUGCGCCCAAGGUUUCGGCCGAGGGCAUGCCUGCCUCAGCGUCGGUUGACCCCUCUCUCCUCCUUCGAAAGAAGGAAGAGGACCUGGCAGUCUCGCUGGCGACAGCGGGUCUGCUGCAGACCAGACGACGUCGCGGUGAAGCGCUCCCGUGCUGGAUUGGUAGGUCUUUACUCGAGACAUGCCUAUCCAGUGCAGCUUCAGCGCACGUGAACAACCAACCUGGGUCGUGUAAAAGCGGCUCAGGCUUUCUCAGUUCGACCUGAGUUCAGGCA